GCCAGGCAUGGUGGUGCAUGCCUGUAAUCCCAGUUACUUGGGAGGCUGAGGCAGGAGAAUUGCUCGAACCUGGGAGGUGGAGGUUGCAGUAAGCCGGGAUCACACCACUGCACUCCACCCUGGGUGACAGAGCAAGACUCUGUCUCGA
rnacentral:sRNA from 1 species